rnacentral:rRNA from 1 species
UACGUAGGGUGCAAGCGUUGUCCGGAAUUAUUGGGCGUAAAGAGCUCGUAGGCGGUCUGUCGCGUCGGAUGUGAAAACCCAGGGCUCAACCCUGGGCCUGCAUUCGAUACGGGCAGACUAGAGUUCGGUAGGGGAGACUGGAAUUCCUGGUGUAGCGGUGAAAUGCGCAGAUAUCAGGAGGAACACCGGUGGCGAAGGCGGGUCUCUGGGCCGAAACUGACGCUGAGGAGCGAAGGCUAGGGGAGCAAACAGG